rnacentral:lncRNA from 1 species
AAGAUAUCAGACUUAUUUUCCUAUGUAUAUGAGAAUUUUAAAAUCAAUCAAAUGGUGAAAAAGAGAGAUAUUGGCUCUUGGAGAUUGGCAUCAUGGUUAAAGAAGGAGGCCGGCAAAUAUCCAAGCACGAUUUUGAAGCUAUCGUCUAUUUAGUAAUUCUGAUCCUUUUCAAAUUUUUUUGUCUUUGUUGUCAAUUUAAUUCUUAAAAAGCAUGCAAAUUUUGAAUUAAGAUCACUGGUUCAUUCAUUAGUAAUUGAGGUGUAAAUCUGUUGUAGGAAUUACUAGGGUUUGAUUUAGGGUUUAGGAUUUGGUUUAGGAUUUGGUUAGAUUUUGAUUUAGGAUUAGGAUUUGAUUAAGGUUUGAUUUAGGAUUAAGAUUUUGUUAGGAUUUGAUUUAGGAUUAAGAUUUGAUUUAGGAUUAAGGUUUUAUUUAGGAUUUAGGAUUUGGUUAGGAUUUGAUUUAAGGUUAGGAUUUGGUUAGGAUUUGAUUUAAGAUUAGGAUUUAGUUUAGGAUUUAGGAUUUGGUUAGCAUUUGAUUUAGGAUUUAGAAUUUGGUUUAGAGUUGGUUAAGAUUUGAUUUAAGAUUUAAGGUUUGAUUAGGAUUUGAUUUAGGAUUUAGAGUUUUAUUUGAGUUUCUUUAGAAUUGAAGAUUUAGUUAGUUUCUGGCCUAAAGUUUGAAUGAAGUUCAAUUGCAUUUUAAUUAGGAUUUAAUUUAAGAUUGAAUUGAGAUUUAUUUGAGAUAUAUUUGUUAUUAUUCUAAUAUUUCUUUAAGAUUUUUUAUUUUUUCUUUGUAAUUUUUUUGAGGUUUCUUUAAAUUUGAUUAAAGCUAGCUUAACAUUGUAUGAUCUAAUUA